CAAUAGCGUAUAUUAAAGUUGUUGCAGUUAAAAAGCUCGUAGUUGGAUUUGUGGUGUAUGGUGUGUUCCGGGCACUUGUUGUCUGAGUAACUUGCCAUUGCCAUCCUUGGGUGGAACCUGUGUGGCAUUAGGUUGUCGUGCAGGGGAUGCCCAUCGUUUACUGUGAAAAAAUUAGAGUGUUCAAAGCAGGCUUAUGCCGUUGAAUAUAUUAGCAUGGAAUAAUAAGAUAGGACUUUUUUGCUAUUUUGUUGGUUUGCGCGAGAAGGUAAUGAUUAAUAGGGAUAGUUGGGGGUAUUCGUAUUCCAUUGUCAGAGGUGAAAUUCUUGGAUUUUUGGAAGACGAACUACUGCGAAAGCAUUUGCCAAGGAUGUUUUCAUUAA
rnacentral:rRNA from 1 species